UACAGAGGGCGCAAGCGUUGUCCGGAUUCACUGGGCGUAAAGCGCGCGCAGGCGGUUGGCUAAGUCAAAUGUGAAAGCCCGCAGCUCAACUCCGGGACGGCAUUCGAGACUGCGCGGCUCGAGCAUUGGAGAGGAGACUGGAAUUCACGGUGUAGCAGUGAAAUGCGUAGAGAUCGUGAGGAAGACCCGGGGGGAAGGCGGGUCGCUGGACGAUUGCUGACGCUGAGGCGCGAAGGCGUGGGGAGCAAACGGG
rnacentral:rRNA from 1 species